rnacentral:rRNA from 1 species
GAUGAACGCUGGCGGCGUGCCUAAUACAUGCGAGUCGAGCGAACAGACGAGGAGCUUGCUCCUCUGACGUUAGCGGCGGACGGGUGAGUAACACGUGGAUAACCUACCUAUAAGACUGGGAUAACUUCGGGAAACCGGAGCUAAUACCGGAUAAUAUAUUGAACCGCAUGGUUCAAUAGUGAAAGACGGUUUUGCUGUCACUUAUAGAUGGAUCCGCGCCGCAUUAGCUAGUUGGUAAGGUAACGGCUUACCAAGGCAACGAUGCGUAGCCGACCUGAGAGGGUGACCGGCCACACUGGAACUGCGCCCCGGCCCAGACCCCUACGGGGGGCAGAAGUAGGGAUUCUUCCGCAAUGGGCGAAAGCCUGACGGAGCAACGCCGCGGGAGGAAAAAAGGUUUUCGGAUCGAAAAACUUUUUUAUGGGGGAAAAACAAAUGGGUAAGUAACUAUGCACGUCUGGAGGGCACUAAAUCAAAAAGCCACGCCUAACUACG